rnacentral:SRP_RNA from 1 species
GACCGGAAGGCAGCAGCCGCACCGGCGUCCGCC